rnacentral:tRNA from 1 species
GGAGAGGUGCCAGAGCGGUCGAAUGGGCUCCCCUGCUAAGGGAGUGUGCCCUUCCGGGCACCGAGGGUUCGAAUCCUUCCCUAUCCG